GGGUCAAUGCCCGAGUUGGCUAAUGGGGGCGGAUUGUAAAUCCGCUGGCUUUGCCUACGCUGGUUCGAAUCCAGCUUGGCCCA
rnacentral:tRNA from 1 species